AUUAUUCAUAAAAUGUAUUUUGUGUCUUAUAUAACCAGGUGACUAUUUAGAGGCCAGAAGAAAAAUGAAAGAAUUUAGCAGUGUUACAGCAGGUCCACAGUCCUAAGAUGAGGGUUCUCAAAGAGAUUAAAAAAGAAAUGACAUGAGUGACAGUGAGCCUGAGGAGAGGUCUGAUGAUGAGCAUAUCACACCAUGGGGGAAGAUUCCCUUAAAUCUCCCAGCUUUACCCCAUUCUUUCCCUCUCACUAAGUGUCAUAGUCCUGACCCAUCUGCCAUGCUCCAAGACCUUGGUGAAGGCAGGUCCUACACAAGUCUUAGCUUCCCUACAAGUUCCAGGCCUUCUCGAUUUUCUGCCCUGAACCAUAACCCUUCAGACACCAGCCCUCUGAUACUCCCUAAUGGAAGAAAUGGCCUACAGUUUAGCAGCCCAACUUACGCACCAGGAUACCAGGACACACAAGGGUUUACUGCUGCCAGUCUUCAGGACUGAAUAAACAGAACCUUCACCAAACCCAACUCUUCUUUGGCACUACGCUUUGCUGAGUGCCUGGGCACUGCAAUUAGCUGUGUUGUAUUGGCAAUACAGCUCCAGAAAAGAUUAAGAGACCACUGCACCUUUUUCUCUCCUUUCCAAAAUAGUUGAAAAGGAAGGUUUUGAGUGAGGAACAGAAGCGUUCAAUUUGCAGUGGUCUCCUAAUUUUAACCCUUCUCUUCCUCACUCAAAACCUUCCUUUUCCACUAUUUGGAAAGGAGAGAAAAAGGUGCAGUGGUCUCUUAAUCUGUUUCCGGAGCUGUAUAUCACAAACCUUAGCCUUAUUGCUUUUAUAAACUGUUUAAAAGUACAAUUAGACUAGUAAAAAGUGUCAUACACCACAGCUGUCAGUCAAUCAACAUUCAGGAUUCUAGCCACCCGGUUUAUAAUUGUUAUUUUAAAACAGUGAGGAAUCUGGUUAAGGUAAAAGUUAGGGUAAGGUUUCAGGUUAAGAUUCAGGGUAGGGACAAGCACUAACCUUGGUCAAAUGUCAACUUUGCAGUUUUGCCUAGUUCUGCCUUCUGAAUUUAGUCUCUGCCUUCUAGGCAGAUUUGGUUAAAUUUAAAUCACUGUAACUCCUCCAAUGAGCAUUUAUUGUCUGGUCUUUUAUUACCAUAUUACGUUACAGCUGCACUUAGGUUAUGAGAGAUUGUUUUUGUAAAACAUAUUUUUGGAUACAACCAAAUAAAAACAUUUGUACCAUU
ensembl:lncRNA